rnacentral:rRNA from 1 species
UACGGAGGGUGCAAGCGUUAUCCGGAUUUACUGGGUUUAAAGGGUGUGUAGGCGGACUUUUAAGUCAGCGGUGAAAUCUCCGGGCUCAACCCGGAAACUGCCAUUGAUACUAUUGGUCUUGAAUGUUGUUGAGGUGGGCGGAACGGGUCAUGUAGCGGUGAAAUGCUUAGAGAUGACCCGGAACACCGAUUGCGAAGGCAGCCCACUACGCAAUGAUUGACGCUGAGGCACGAAAGCGUGGGGAUCAAACAGG